rfam:Gossypium hirsutum cultivar TM-1 chromosome 11, whole genome shotgun sequence
AAGUCAUGAUGAAUAAAUAUUCUCAAAAGAUCCUUAAAUCUCUCCCAUGCAUCAUAUAAUGUCUCCAAAUCAAUUUGAGAAAAAGAAGAAAUGUCAUUUCUCAACUU